ACUUCUACUUGCAUCCGUUCUUGCCGUUCCUUCCAAUCGGUCUCUAUCCUUCCUUUCUCAAACACCAUGUUUGCCAUCUUCUCUUUAACCACAAAAGAAAAUAUGAUGCUUGUCAAGAAUACUCCUCCUACUUCUUACUAUGGUCCAAUCAAUUGGGUCAACUCUCGCUUAUUUCUCACGAUUCAUCAUGAUGAAAUACCCUUUCAUCAUCAUUAUUUACUCCUCCAUCU
rnacentral:lncRNA from 1 species